AGAUUGAACGCUGGCGGCAGGCCUAACACAUGCAAGUCGAGCGGCAGCACGGGUACUUGUACCUGGUGGCGAGCGGCGGACGGGUGAGUAAUGCCUAGGAAUCUGCCUGAUAGUGGGGGAUAACGUUCGGAAACGGACGCUAAUACCGCAUACGUCCUACGGGAGAAAGUGGGGGAUCUUCGGACCUCACGCUAUCAGAUGAGCCUAGGUCGGAUUAGCUAGUUGGUAGGGUAAAGGCCUACCAAGGCUACGAUCCGUAACUGGUCUGAGAGGAUGAUCAGUCACACUGGAACUGAGACACGGUCCAGACUCCUACGGGAGGCAGCAGUGGGGAAUAUUGGACAAUGGGCGAAAGCCUGAUCCAGCCAUGCCGCGUGUGUGAAGAAGGUCUUCGGAUUGUAAAGCUACUUUAAGUUGGGAGAAGGCAUUAACCUAAUACGUUAGUGUUUUGACGUUACCGACAGAAUAAGCACCGGCUAACUCUGUGCCAGCAGCCGUACG
rnacentral:rRNA from 1 species